rnacentral:lncRNA from 1 species
CUCAAGUCCUUUAUAUACAAAGAUGUGGGGUUUGCACAGAACCUGCUUAUGCCCUCCCAUACAUUUUUUUUCUUAAGAGCUGUUUAAUCUUGUAAUGAAAGACAAAAUGGUAAGAAGGGAUAAGCCAAAAUAUUCACUUAUCAGUAGAGAAGGAGAGAGAAAGCACUGAAAAUUUUCCAAUUAUUUUUCUUAAAACCAAAUGCUGGGGUAGCACAUUUAAAGACUAACUAACAGCUCAGACAUUCUUUGGAUUUAAUGCAUACUUACAAUAGUCACGUGCACAUCCUAAAACUAAAAAGUAAAAAGUUAUUCCUAAAAUCAUGUGUCAGUAAAACUUGCCUGGAACUGGUUGUACAAUAUACAUGACACAGAUACUACUCUGUAGCAAAAAAUUUCUCAGAACACACAUGAAAAAUAGAAUAAUUUAUAUUUAUAAAAAGUACUAUUUUAUGAACAAAACAACUGAAACUCAGAAAAAAGUGAUCAGAAUAUUAUAGGACAACUAAUGCCCUGUUUCUCAAAAUCCUUUACAAAAGGAGGUAGAUUCAUAAAUUAACAGUUCAAGGUCUGGUAUUUUAAUGUUACUUUUUUUCUUCUUUUUCUUUUCAUCUGCUUCCAGUUUAAGCUUAACUUCUUCAGUUGUAAGGGCUCCAAGUUUCUUACUCUUUGCUUUCUUAACCUUUUCCUUGAUUAGUUUCAGUAGACGCUUCCUUAGGUUUUGCAACUGGCUUUUCUUUAGGUGUAAUAAAUGCUUUAUUUCUUUCCUCUUGUCUCUUACUGAGAGCUUCUGCUUGUUUAGCCUUUAUUGCUUCCAUUUUCUGUCGCUUCUUCUGAUUUGCCUUCAAAAAGUAUUCACCACUAGCCAGUUCCUUGUCAAUCUGACUUUCUGGCUGUGGUAGUGGGAAUGGUGUAUACUCUUUCUUAACAGUUUUCUUCUUUGGUUCUUUGCAUUUAUUCACAUUUUUGUGUUUGAACUGUGGCAAAAAUCUUCCCCAACUUUAUGAUCGUAAUUCAGAAUCUUUUGCCAACUUUUGUUUAAUCAUUAAGGUUUUGAUAUUAUAAAUUGGAUGAAUAUUCUUCAUGGUAUCUAGAACUACUUUUCGAACCUCUUUUAAGCCAUUAAAAGAUCCAAUGGCUGCAACUGUGUUUCCCUGAACCAUAAUCUAAGUUUGUUAAGAGUUAAAAUGCCUUCAGAGUAGAUCCUUUGGGACCACUAAGUCGUUGUCUUCUUUUUACAAAUCUUUCUUUAUUUCUUACUAAAGAACCUAUUU